UUCCUCCUCCUCCUCGCCUCACCGUCACUCUCAAACACCCCCCCCCCCCCCGACCGCUUCCCCCCGACGCCCCAAACUCCUUCUUCAGGACCGUGGGAUGCUGGUGAGCUCUGGUGAGAGUUGCCGGUCUCCAUUUCCAAGCGGGGAGCCGCCGGGAGCGCCUAUUUUACCAUUGAGGACGAGAUAGGCAGAAAAAGGAGCGUUUGACUUGGAGCUCGCCCCCGAUUUUAGUCCAAAGGAUCUGCUUCUGGGAAUUGCGUGUCCGGCUCCAGCGUUUUGCCUGCUGAGGAAGAGGCCCACUCUGUUCUCCAGCCUUGUUUCAUGGAUUUCUAUCUCUCCAAGUAAUUCCUCAGCAUCCCCUUGAAUGGCAUCUCCCGCACUAAAGAGCUUUUCCAACCCACAAGACUGAAAAAACUUCCCAUAACUGAAAUGACUCCAGCACAGCUAUUCCCUAGAAGACAUCCCCCCUGAUUUCUUGUGGGGACUGCAAUAUAUCUGAAGUUGUAGGGUUGAGGUGUCCAAAUUUGAAGACAGUAUUCAAAAAUAGCGAGGACAUGGAAAAGACGUUGAAGUCCUAUUGCUCCUGUUGGAAACUUCUGCUGACUGCAGCAUGAGUUGGAUUUGGCCCAGAGAAACCAAAUACACACAAGUAACAACGAGUUGGCCAUACAAGCAAGGAAAAUCACAGGUAACAGGUGAACACAAAUUAGCAAUGUACCUUUUAGGUCAUCCAGUACAGUUCCCUGAUACCAUGAGAUUGUUUCCUAUGGCAUAUUUUCGGUUGUUUUGUGUGCAUAGAUUAAAUGUCCUAAGUGAUGCCAUGUCCCCAGGGAUAGGCUGUGCUGUCUAGAGUAUAUUGUCGUCAAAAGGUUUUUUUUACCUUUCUUAACAUCAUCAUAUUUCUUCUAGUUACAUCCCUUUGCAAACUCCUUAUUUUCCUUCACUGAUGCAAUUUUCUUCCAGUAUCUUUUAACUGCUGUGUUUAGUUAGCAUAAUGCCAACCCGUAGCUAUUUAGAUCGUAUAAUCUUCCCUAACACAUCAGUCCUUUCAGUCUCCUGGUUAUUCCUUCUUUCCUCUUGUCACACUCCUGCCUGUCAGUAUCUUUUUUAGUUCUGAGAUUUUAAAGAUGUGAUGCAUUUCUCUGAACUAAUGACAGAUUCAGUAUAGAGCUGAGCACCCUCAAUGUCUUCUCACUGAAAACCCCUGAUGUGCCUAGGGAAAGCUGCCAGCAGUCUGGGCAGACACACAGGUAGUAAGUAUCCUGCUCAAACCACUUCCCUUGUGCCACUUAUUCUGUUGGCCAACAAAACCCUGUUAAAACAGUUAACAUAGUAGUCAAAAACCCCACAAAUACAUGUCAUUAUAGAUUUGUUUUAUUUCUCACAAUAUUAGGAGAUGAAAGUAGCACAGAUAAAAAAAACCUUUGUUACUGUUGUUGAGAUUUUCUAACUCUUGGUCAUGGACAUCACAGGCUAAAAAUUAAGGAAAAUGCCAUCUUCCAUAACUGUAUCUGAGUGUUAGAAGGGUACAUUGUAGAAAGUAAUUAUAAACAUAGUCACAAGCUUGGCUGUUCACUUCAGGCAAUAAAUUCUGAUCAACAAACAACACCCCUUUAGUG